rnacentral:rRNA from 1 species
GACGAACGCUGGCGGCGUGCUUAACACAUGCAAGUCGAACGGAAAGGCCCUGCUUUUGUGGGGUGCUCGAGUGGCGAACGGGUGAGUAACACAUGAGUAACCUGCCCUUGACUUUGGGAUAACUUCAGGAAACUGGGGCUAAUACCGGAUAGGAGCUCCUGCUGCAUGGUGGGGGUUGGAAAGUUUCGGCGGUUGGGGAUGGACUCGCGGCUUAUCAGCUUGUUGGUGGGGUAGUGGCUUACCAAGGCUUUGACGGGUAGCCGGCCUGAGAGGGUGACCGGCCACAUUGGGACUGAGAUACGGCCCAGACUCCUACGGGAGGCAGCAGUGGGGAAUAUUGCACAAUGGGCGGAGGCCUGAUGCAGCAACCCCGCGUGCGGGAUGACGGCCUUCGGGUUGUAAACCGCUUUCGCCUGUGACGAAGCGUGAGUGACGGUAAUGGGUAAAGAAGCACCGGCUAACUACGUG